rnacentral:rRNA from 1 species
CUGGCUCAGAACGAACGCUGGCGGCAGGCCUAAUACAUGCAAGUCGAGCGCGCCCUUCGGGGUGAGCGGCGGACGGGUGAGUAACGCGUGGGAAUAUGCCCUUCUCUAAGGAAUAGCCUCUGGAAACGGAGAGUAAUACCUUAUACGCCCUUUGGGGGAAAGAUUUAUCGGAGAAGGAUUAGCCCGCGUUAGAUUAGGUAGUUGGUGGGGUAAUGGCCUACCAAGCCUACGAUCUAUAGCUGGUUUGAGAGGAUGAUCAGCCACACUGGGACUGAGACACGGCCCAGACUCCUACGGGAGGCAGCAGUAGGGAAUCUUAGACAAUGGGGGCAACCCUGAUCUAGCCAUGCCGCGUGUGUGAUGAAGGCCCUAGGGUCGUAAAGCACUUUCGCCAGAGAUGAUAAUGACAGUAUCUGGUAAAGAAACCCCGGCUAACUCCGUGCCAGCAGCCGCGGUAAUACGGAGGGGGUUAGCGUUGUUCGGAAUUACUGGGCGUAAAGCGCACGUAGGCGGAUUAGUAAGUUAGAGGUGAAAUCCCAGGGCUCAACCCUGGAACUGCCUUUAAUACUGCUAGUCUUGAGUUCGAGAGAGGUAAGUGGAAUUCCGAGUGUAGAGGUGAAAUUCGUAGAUAUUCGGAGGAACACCAGUGGCGAAGGCGGCUUACUGGCUCGAUACUGACGCUGAGGUGCGAAAGUGUGGGGAGCAAACAGGAUUAGAUACCC